rnacentral:misc_RNA from 1 species
GCAAAACCCAAAUGGAAUCCAAAGAGGACGAAGCCUCCCAAAGCGGAGCAAACCCAUGGAAAUUCAGUCCAUUUCAAGCAAAGAUUUAGUUUUGUUAAGGCUUCCGGUGAAAUCCCUUUUACAAUUCAGGGUGCAGAUAUCUGGGUUAUGACGGAGUAUGGAGUUGAAGAAUCUAGGACAAAGUUGUUUACUAUCAAGUCUCAUAAUGAAUUUAUACCAUGUUUGUAGGGUUUGCCCCUUUUUUGUCAAAUGGUGACAUUUUGCUUGAAAUUGAAUCACGUUUGGGGAAAUAUAAUCCAUAGAAUGACUCGAUCAAAUAUCUAGAGGUUACUAACUUUGCUCCAUAUGUUGAGGCAGAAAUCUACGUUAAAAGCCUAGUUUAUCUCCUUUUUUAGAAGUUACUAUGCCUGCAAUAGCAACGGAGGUUCAAAUACUCGGAUGAAGACACCCAUGUGACUAAUAACCUGAUACUUGCGUUGGUCGGUGUGA